CCUACGGGUGGCAGCAGUGGGGAAUAUUGCACAAUGGGGGAAACCCUGAUGCAGCGACGCCGCGUGAGUGAAGAAGUAUCUCGGUACGUAAAGCUCUAUCAACCGGGAAGAAAAUGACGGUACCUGACUAAGAAGCCCCGGCUAACUACGUGCCAGCAGCCGCGGUAAUACGUAGGGGGCAAGCGUUCUCCGGAUUUACUGGGUGUAGAGGGAGCGUGGACGGCAGCACAAGUCUGGAGUGAAAUCCCGGGGCUUAACCCCGGAACUGCUUUGGAAACUGUGCGGCUGGAGUGCAGGAGGGGGAAGCGGAAUUCCGAGUGUAGCGGUGAAAUGCGUAGAUAUUAGGAGGAACACCGGUGGCGAAGGCGGCUUACUGGACUGUAACUGACGUUGAGGCUCGAAAGCGUGGGGAGCAAACAGGAUUAGAUACCCUGGUAGUC
rnacentral:rRNA from 1 species